rnacentral:rRNA from 1 species
UGAUGGGUUUGGGCUCUUCUUGCGCAGCCUAGGUGGGAGGCGUUGAAGUUCCCUUCCGGGGGUUCUUGAGCCAUCAGUGAGAGACCACUCUGGAGGAGCUAGAAUUCUAAUGGCGAUCCUUGAAUCAGGACGCUUGACAGUUUCAGGCGGGCAGUUUGACUGGGGCGGUCGCCUCCUAAAAGGUAACGGAGGCGUGCAAAGGUUCCCUCAGGCUGGACGGAAAUCAGCCGUACAGUGUAAAGGCAGAAGGGAGCUUGACUGCAAGACCUACAAGUCGAGCAGGGGCGAAAGCCGGCCUUAGUGAUCCGACGGUACCGUGUGGAAGGGCCGUCGCUCAACGGAUAAAAGUUACUCUAGGGAAACAGGCUGAA